GACCUGAUCUCAGUCUGAAAAGCAUAAGAGGGGUGAAGAGGAGACAUUCCCCAAUAAAACUCUGAAGUCCGUUCUAGCUCAUGCCAGCAUGCAGCAGCUGUUAAUCCCCCAGAGAACAUUUGACUCUCCUCCUCGUGGUGAUGAUCAUUAAGCAUGAUGAAUACAAAUGCCAUUUGUUGAUUCAGGUGCUAAGAGUCUGAGCCACACAGCUUCGAUGUCAGCCGGAUAGUACCUCAGUGUCUGGGACAGGACACGGAGAUCUUCGGGGAAGGCAGAGCUGGCUGAUGAACCCUAUCCAGUGUCCUGAUUAAUGCAUUACAGGGAAUCUGAAGGAAGUCAAGGGAAAUGAACAUUUGAGAACCUUUGUUCACACUCUGCAGCAAAAUCAUGUGAGGAUGGUGAGACGCAUGUCACAGCCUCCUAUUUUACAGAAGAGGAAAACUGAGACUAGAAAAGUGCAGAGGCUUGAACACAAUGAGUGCAGACAGCUGCUGCAUGUCAGCAGAGGGGGAAAUAAUACCUGUUCAUCAGGGAGCUAAUUCUGCAAAAUGCACCAUCUAAUAGAAUAUUCCUGGGAG